GCCUGGGUGGCUCAGUCGGUUGAGCGUCUGACUUCAGCUCAGGUCAUGAUCUCGUGGUCCGGUCCGUGAGUUCGAGCCCCGCGUCGGGCU
rnacentral:tRNA from 1 species